UACGGAAUGUGCAAACGUUAUUCGGAAUCACUGGGCUUAAAGAGUCCGUAGGCGGCUUGUUAGGUGAGGUGUGAAAUCCCUCGGCCCAACCGAGGAAUUGCGCUUCAAACCGGCAAGCUAGAGGAGGAUAGAGGUGGGCGGAACUGAUGGUGGAGCGGUGAAGUGCGUUGAUAUCAUCAGGAACACCGGAGGCGAAGGCGGUCCACUGGGUCCUUUCUGACGCUGAGGGACGAAAGCUAGGGGAGCGAACGGG
rnacentral:rRNA from 1 species